rnacentral:rRNA from 1 species
UACGUAGGGUGCGAGCGUUAAUCGGAAUUACUGGGCGUAAAGCGUGCGCAGGCGGUUGUGCAAGACAGAUGUGAAAUCCCCGGGCUCAACCUGGGAACUGCAUUUGUGACUGCACGGCUGGAGUGCGGCAGAGGGGGAUGGAAUUCCGCGUGUAGCAGUGAAAUGCGUAGAUAUCUGGAGGAAUACCGGUGGCGAAGGCGGCAUCCUGGACCGACAUUGACGCUGAGGAGCGAAAGCUAGGGGAGCAAACGGG